rnacentral:rRNA from 1 species
CCUACGGGUGGCAGCAGUGGGGAAUAUUGGGCAAUGGGCGCAAGCCUGACCCAGCAACGCCGCGUGAAGGAAGAAGGCUUUCGGGUUGUAAACUUCUUUUGUCAGGGAAGAGUAGAAGACGGUACCUGACGAAUAAGCCACGGCUAACUACGUGCCAGCAGCCGCGGUAAUACGUAGGUGGCAAGCGUUGUCCGGAUUUACUGGGUGUAAAGGGCGUGUAGCCGGGUUGACAAGUCAGAUGUGAAAUCCUGCGGCUUAACCGCAGAACUGCAUUUGAAACUGUUGAUCUUGAGUACUGGAGAGGCAGGCGGAAUUCCUAGUGUAGCGGUGAAAUGCGUAGAUAUCUGGAGGAACAUCAGUUGCGAAGGCGACUAACUGGCACAUAACUGACGCUGAGGAGCGAAAGCGUGGGUAGCAAACAGGAUUAGAUACCCUAGUAGUC